rnacentral:rRNA from 1 species
UACGAAGGGGGCUAGCGUUGCUCGGAAUCACUGGGCGUAAAGCGCACGUAGGCGGACUUUUAAGUCGGAGGUGAAAUCCUGGAGCUCAACUCCAGAACUGCCUUCGAUACUGAGAGUCUUCGAGUUCGGGAGAGGUGAGUGGAACUGCGAGUGUAGAGGUGAAAUUCGUAGAUAUUCGCAAGAACACCAGUGGCGAAGGCGGCAUCCUGGACCAUGACUGACGCUGAGGAGCGAAAGCCAGGGGAGCAAACGGG